CCCUGUACAGGGGGAUACAGCUGGAAACGGCUGCUAAUACCGCAUAAGCGCACGAGGAGACAUCUCCUUGUGUGAAAAACUCCGGUGGUACAGGAUGGGCCCGCGUCUGAUUAGCUGGUUGGCAGGGUAACGGCCUACCAAGGCAACGAUCAGUAGCCGGUCUGAGAGGAUGAACGGCCACAUUGGAACUGAGACACGGUCCAAACUCCUACGGGAGGCAGCAGUGGGGAAUAUUGCACAAUGGGGGAAACCCUGAUGCAGCAACGCCGCGUGAGUGAAGAAGUAUUUCGGUAUGUAAAGCUCUAUCAGCAGGGAAGAUAAUGACGGUACCUGACUAAGAAGCUCCGGCUAAAUACGUGCCAGCAGCCGCGGUAAUACGUAUGGAGCAAGCGUUAUCCGGAUUUACUGGGUGUAAAGGGUGCGUAGGUGGCAGUGCAAGUCAGAUGUGAAAGGCCGGGGCUCAACCCCGGAGCUGCAUUUGAAACUGCAUAGCUAGAGUACAGGAGAGGCAGGCGGAAUUCCUAGUGUAGCGGUGAAAUGCGUAGAUAUUAGGAGGAACACCAGUGGCGAAGGCGGCUCUGCUGGACUGUUACUGACACUGAGGCACGAAAGCGUGGGGAGCAAACAGGAUUAGA
rnacentral:rRNA from 1 species